rnacentral:rRNA from 1 species
AGCGGCGGACGGGUGAGUAACACGUGGGCAACCUGCCCUGCAGAUCGGGAUAACUCCGGGAAACCGGUGCUAAUACCGAAUAGUUUGCGGCCUCUCAUGAGGCUGCACGGAAAGACGGUUUCGGCUGUCACUGCAGGAUGGGCCCGCGGCGCAUUAGCUAGUUGGUGAGGUAACGGCUCACCAAGGCCACGAUGCGUAGCCGACCUGAGAGGGUGAUCGGCCACACUGGGACUGAGACACGGCCCAGACUCCUACGGGAGGCAGCAGUAGGGAAUCUUCCGCAAUGGACGAAAGUCUGACGGAGCAACGCCGCGUGAGUGAAGAAGGUUUUCGGAUCGUAAAACUCUGUUGUGAGGGAAGAACAAGUACCAAGUAACUACUGGUACCUUGACGGUACCUCACCAGAAAGCCACGGCUAACUACGUGCCAGCAGCCGCGGUAAUACGUAGGUGGCAAGCGUUGUCCGGAAUUAUUGGGCGUAAAGCGCGCGCAGGCGGUUCUUUAAGUCUGAUGUGAAAGCCCACGGCUCAACCGUGGAGGGUCAUUGGAAACUGGGGAACUUGAGUGCAGAAGAGGAAAGUGGAAUUCCAUGUGUAGCGGUGAAAUGCGUAGAGAUGUGGAGGAACACCAGUGGCG